UACGUAGGGGGCAAGCGUUGUCCGGAAUCAUUGGGCGUAAAGCGCGCGUAGGCGGCCCGGUAAGUCCGCUGUGAAAGUCAAAGGCUCAACCUUUGAAUGUCAGCGGAUACUGCCGGGCUGGAGUCCGGAAGAGGCGAGUGGAACUCCUGGUGUAGCGGUGGAAUGCGCAGAUAUCAGGAGGAACACCAAUAGCGAAGGCAGCUCGCUGGGACGUAACUGACACUGAGGCGCGAAAGCGUGGGGAGCGAACAGG
rnacentral:rRNA from 1 species